rnacentral:rRNA from 1 species
ACACGCUGGCGGCGUGGAUUAGGCAUGCAAGUCGAACGGUAUCAUCCUUUCGGGGGUGAGAGAGUGGCGAACUGGUGAGUAACACGUAGGUUAUCUACCCUCAAGACGGGACAACCCAGGGAAACUUGGGCUAAUACCGGAUGUGAGCAACUUUUAGUGUUUGAAAGGUGGCGUAAGCUGUCGCUUGGGGAUGAGCCUGCGUCCUAUUAGUUAGUUGGUGAGGUAACGGCUCACCUAGGCAAUGAUAGGUAGGCGGCCUUAACGGGUGGUCGCCCACACUGGGAUUGAGAUACGGCCCAGACUCCUACGGGAGGCAGCAGUCGAGAAUAGUCUACAAUGGUCGGAAGACUGAUAGUGCGACGCCGCGUGAACGAUGAAUCCCUUCGGGGUGUAAAGUUCUUUUAUAUGUGAGCAGUGCUUCUUAUAUUAACAGUAUGGGGAGAGAGAUAUUAGCAUAUGAAUAAGCAACGGCUAACUCCGUG